CCAGAAGGAGUCAGCCCUCCACCUUGUCCUCCACCUCGACGGUGGCGCCAAGAAGCGCAAGAAGAACACCUGCACCAAGCCGGCGGUGACUGAGGGAAAUUCUCCCCCCCUUUUUUAUAAACUUUAUUGUUACUAGUCUAAUUGAACAUUAGCAGCAUGUUCUUAUUUUGAAGAUUUGGAGGUUUCUGUGGGAAGCUUGUCGAGACACUACUUUAAUCAUCUUGAUGGUAGCUGCGGCUGCUUCUUUGGCCCUUGGGAUAAAGACAGAGGGUAUAAAAGAAGGAUGGUAUGAUGGUGGAAGUAUCGCGUUGGCUGUCUUUAUCGUCAUUGUUGUAACAGGUUGGAUUUUCUGUUAACGGAGUAAUAAUACUAACUUUUAUGUGGGUUUUGAAGGCAUUCCUUGAGGACGAUGGAAGGUAACUUUGGUCCGGAUCUUCUUGGCUUUCUUCUUAAAAGUUGUCCCAGAUUUGACAAAUUUGGCAACCUUGGCUGCCUGAGCCUUUGUAUCAAGCUUUUUUGUGGUGUCAGCUUUAGGAGCCAUUGCUGGAAACUGCCUUACAAAUCUUUUACCUGAGGGGAGGAGCCGAGUGUUGAGGGGAGGAGCUGAGUGUUGCUGAAGCGGCUCUGUGUUGAAAUUUGGGACUUGGAUUUGUUUUGUAAAGCUACCUCGAGUUAUAUGUGAAAUUUAGGCCAAAUACCACUUAUCAAACUAUCUAUAGGGUGUUGUUGAACUUCAUUAUGAUAUUUGAAUGCUUAUAUGAUAUUUUGACAUUUCGUAAUG